CCUACGGGGGGCAGCAGUGAGGAAUAUUGGUCAAUGGACGAGAGUCUGAACCAGCCACGUAGCGUGAAGGAUGACUGCCCUAUGGGUUGUAAACUUCUUUUAUAUGGGAAUAAAAUGUUCCACGUGUGGGAUUUUGUAUGUACCAUAUGAAUAAGGAUCGGCUAACUCCGUGCCAGCAGCCGCGGUAAUACGGAGGAUCCGAGCGUUAUCCGGAUUUAUUGGGUUUACAGGGAGCGUAGGUGGAUUGUUAAGUCAGUUGUGAAAGUUUGCGGCUCAACCGUAAAAUUGCAGUUGAAACUGGCAGUCUUGAGUACAGUAGAGGUGGGCGGAAGUCGUGGUGUAGCGGUGAAAUGCUUAGAUAUCACGAAGAACUCCGAUUGCGAAGGCAGUUCACUGGACUGCAACUGACACUGAGGCUCGAAAGUGUGGGUAUCAAACAGGAUUAGAUACCCCUGUAGUC
rnacentral:rRNA from 1 species